UACGUAGGCAGCAAGCGUUGUUCGGAAUUACUGGGCGUAAAGAGUGUGUAGGCGGUGCUCUAAGUCUGUCGUGAAAUCUCCCGGCUUAACUGGGAGGGUGCGGCGGAUACUAUUGUGCUAGAGGGUGGGAGAGGUAAGCGGAAUUCCUGGUGUAGCGGUGAAAUGCGUAGAUAUCAGGAGGAACACCAAAGGCGAAGGCAGUGUCCUGGGGAGUACCUGACGCUCAGGUGCGAAAGCCAGGGGAGCGAACGGG
rnacentral:rRNA from 1 species